GACGAACGCUGGCGGCGUGCUUAACACAUGCAAGUCGAACGGGCCUUGUCCCCUUUUUUUUUGGGGGUGGGGUUAGUGGCGAACGGGUGAGUAACACGUGAGUAACCUGCCCCUCACUUCUGGAUAACCGCUUGAAAGGGUGGCUAAUACGGGGUGUUCUGGCCUGCUCGCAUGGGUGGGUUUGGAAAGAUUCGACCGGUUUUGGUGUUUUUGGUGGGGGAUGGGCUCGCGGCCUAUCAGCUUGUUGGUGGGGUGAUGGCCUACCAAGGCGGUGACGGGUAGCCGGCCUGAGAGGGUGGACGGUCACACUGGGACUGAGACACGGCCCAGACUCCUACGGGAGGCAGCAGUGGGGAAUAUUGCACAAUGGGCGCAAGCCUGAUGCAGCGACGCCGCGUGAGGGAUGGAGGCCUUCGGGUUGUAAACCUCUUUCGCCAGUGAAGCAGGCCUGCUCCUUGUGGGUGGGUUGACGGUAGCUGGAAAGAAGCGC
rnacentral:rRNA from 1 species